GUUGUCGUGGCAUGAUAGUCCUGAAUGUCAUAAAGUACUGUAGCGAUUCUCGUGUUACCCCUUUGCCGCGCGAUAUUCUCCGCAGCCUGAACAAGCUGCAGCGCCAUGGCAUCGUGGAUGACCAGGUCCGCGCCAUUGAGAUUUCGAUGAUCCGUCAGUCAACAAGCUGUCACCGCUGAUGACGACAGAACGACCAGCAU
rnacentral:rRNA from 1 species